rnacentral:misc_RNA from 1 species
UGUGGGGGCGGGCUUGCCCGCGAUAGCGCAGGUUCAGUCAAUAUCUCGCGGGCUGACACACCGCAAUCGCGGGCAAGCCCGCUCCCACA